rnacentral:lncRNA from 1 species
GUUAGACUCCAUUUACUGUGCAGCGUCGCUGAAAAUUCAAUCAGAAGUCAGAUGAGUCUCGAUGGUUUGUUUCAUUCUUUCUUAUAAGAUCAUACAUUAAGAUUGGCAAAGAGAACAUAGUGCUCUGGCCUGUGUUGCUGUGUUCCCCGCAGUCUUGGUUCUCUGGUUCCCGCUGCCAGUCACUGGAUCAAACCUCUGGUGAGUCUUCCUACACUCAGUAUUUACUGUUAAUAUCCUCAUCUGUCCCUAGUUUUGUGACUG